GGCCCCGUAGCUCAGCCUGGAUAGAGCACCAGGUUCGCACCUUAGAGGUCGUGAGUUCGAAUCUCACCGGGGCCU
rnacentral:tRNA from 1 species